rnacentral:rRNA from 1 species
AUUGAACGCUGGCGGCAGGCCUAACACAUGCAGGUCGAGCGGAUGAAGGGAGCUUGCUCCUGGAUUCAGCGGCGGACGGGUGAGUAAUGCCUAGGAAUCUGCCUGGUAGUGGGGGAUAACGUCCGGAAACGGGCGCUAAUACCGCAUACGUCCUGAGGGAGAAAGUGGGGGAUCUUCGGACCUCACGCUAUCAGAUGAGCCUAGGUCGGAUUAGCUAGUUGGUGGGGUAAAGCCCUACCAAGGCGACGAUCCGUAACUGGUCUGAGAGGAUGAUCAGUCACACUGGAACUGAGACACGGUCCAGACUCCUACGGGAGGCAGCAGUGGGGAAUAUUGGACAAUGGGCGAAAGCCUGAUCCAGCCAUGCCGCGUGUGUGAAGAAGGUCUUCGGAUUGUAAAGCACUUUAAGUUGGGAGGAAGGGCAGUAAGUUAAUACCUUGCUGUUUUGACGUUACCAACAGAAUAAGCACCGGCUAACUUCGUG